CCUACGGGAGGCAGCAGUGAGGAAUAUUGGUCAAUGGACGCAAGUCUGAACCAGCCAUGUCGCGUGCAGGAAGACGGCUCUAUGGGUUGUAAACUGCUUUUGUACGGGGAUAAACGCAGAUACGCGUGUCUGUCUGUAGGUACCGUACGAAUAAGGAUCGGCUAACUCCGUGCCAGCAGCCGCGGUAAUACGGAGGGUUCAAGCGUUAUCCGGAUUUAUUGGGUUUAAAGGGUGCGUAGGCGGUCUGAUAAGUUAGAGGUGAAAUCCCGAGGCUCAACUUCGGAAUUGCCUCUGAUACUGUUCGGCGAGAGAGUAGGUGCGGUAGGCGGAAUGUAUGGUGUAGCGGUGAAAUGCUUAGAGAUCAGACAGAACACCGAUUGCGAAGGCAGCUUACCAAGGUACUUCUGACGUUGAGGCACGAAAGCGUGGGGAGCAAACAGGAUUAGAUACCCCUGUAGUC
rnacentral:rRNA from 1 species